UAGAGUUUUGAUCCUGGCUCAGGAUGAACGCUGGCGGCGUGCCUAAUACAUGCAAGUCGAGCGAACGGAUAAGGAGCUUGCUCCUUUGAAGUUAGCGGCGGACGGGUGAGUAACACGUGGGUAACCUACCUAUAAGACUGGAAUAACUUCGGGAAACCGGAGCUAAUGCCGGAUAACAUUUGGAACCGCAUGGUUCUAAAGUAAAAGAUGGUUUUGCUAUCACUUAUAGAUGGACCCGCGCCGUAUUAGCUAGUUGGUAAGGUAACGGCUUACCAAGGCAACGAUACGUAGCCGACCUGAGAGGGUGAUCGGCCACACUGGAACUGAGACACGGUCCAGACUCCUACGGGAGGCAGCAGUAGGGAAUCUUCCGCAAUGGACGAAAGUCUGACGGAGCAACGCCGCGUGAGUGAUGAAGGUUUUCGGAUCGUAAAACUCUGUUAUUAGGGAAGAACAAAUGCGUAAGUAACUGUGCGCAUCUUGACGGUACCUAAUCAGAAAGCCACGGCUAACUAAC
rnacentral:rRNA from 1 species